UGGAGGCAGGGCGCCGGCCCCUCCUCAGGAGGCUGGAUAAUCACUGUCGCUGUCAUUUACUGAACUGAUGAGAUCCCACACUCAGCCGGCUUCUGGAUGAACCCUCACCACGGCCCUGCGGGGCGAGAGCCCUCAUUCCCGUGUCUCGGGCUGGAGAGGUGGCCAGUCACUUACCCAGAGCUAAACCUGGCCCAGCUGGCCCGGGGCCUGGGCCUGACUCCAGACCUUCUGACCAUCGCUGUUCUCAGUGGGCACGGGUCCACCUGCUUCCCGCGAACCACACAAAGUUCCCCUGAAAGGAACGGCCGCCCGAAACUUAAAGCACCGCGUUCUGAUCCGGACACAAGGCGGGCGGACGUUUGCAGCAACAGGUCUUUCCUGAGCACCUGCUGGGUUCUAGACACUCGGUACAAAAACCUAAAAGACCUCUGCCAUCAAGGAGCCUUCAGUGCAGGGCGGGGGGGGGGGGGGGGGGGAAUAAAUAUGUAAAUAAAUAAUUAUAGCUUAGGGAUGGAUGCUAUGAAAGGCAAGGGAACCCGGAGGAGGCUGGAGGCAUCUGGAAGGCCUCCCAGAGGGGGUGACUUUUAAAUGGACCUUGAGGAGCGGCUUCAAGCUCCCCAGACAGACAACAGGGAAGGAAGGGUGCUCAGGGAGAAGCAGCAUUUGCAAAGCCACGGGGGUGGGACAGCAGGGUGCAGCUCAAGGACAGCAAGGCGGCCAGCAAGGGAGCAGGGAGGGGCGUGAGGGCAAGGAGCCUGGGAGGCGAGCAGAGGAAGGACCGGGAAGGGCCUUGUACUCCAGGCCCGGGGUGUACGCCUUACCUUGGAGGAACUGGGGGGCUGCGGCUUGCGGAGCAGAGGACGUGGCUUGAGCACGUCCCUGGGGAGGAUCCCUGACGACGGCUGGGGUCACGCAGCCCGGGGCAGGGGCACCUGUCAAGACGCAGCUGUCUAGAAGAUGGUGAGAAGCGGAGUCCAGGAAAGCCGAAGGCUGUGCGUGGGAGGGACAGGUCAAAGCGGUGACAGCGAGACACUCACCUGGGCAGGAAAGGUGAGGAGUCUGGUGUGAGGUUGGGCGAAAACCUCUGCUUGUGCAGGUGAGUGGUCUGGGUAGAGAUGCAGGAAAGAGGCACCUGCGGCCUAAGAGAAAGGCUGCAGCAGGAUGCAGAGGUACGGGGGUAGAGGUGGGGCUGCGGCUGCCCAGGGCUGUGCAGACACUUAGCGGGGAGGGCGCAGGGUGAGGCCCCAGGAGCUCCCACACUCAUGAGAAAACGAAGAGAAAGUGAGGAGAGGAAGUGGCUGGGUUCCCGCUCCCUCGAGGCCAGAGAGGGAAGGCGCGCCAUCUGGGUGGCCAGAGACAAAGGUCACUCACAGUCCGUCAGCAGACACCAGCCGGGGCUCCCGGAGUGGGACCAACCCAGAACUGACUUUCCGAGAAGACCUUCUGACCAGAAAGCUCUGUCCUACCCAGAGGCCCAACGUGCUGUGUGAAAACAGGGGUCCAGGGAAAGGGGACGGAGGAGGUGGAGGAAGAAAAACCUCGUGCAUCCUCAGGCAAGAUAAGGGAAGCAUCUUGGGCUUCUGGAAGAUCUUACCUUUCAGCCUUCUUCUUGUUUAUUCUUCGUGUGGGAACAGGGACAUGGGGGCUGCAGGGCCGGGCUUGUCUGGGCCUCAGAGUGUCACAGCGAAGAUGAGAGGCCCAUCGAGAAAUCAGACAAGGACCAAACUGGCCCCUUCGUUGUCGCCGCCCCAGCCUCCACGGCAGAGGGAGGCCAGGCCUCCUACCUCCACCUCUCCGGCCUCAGGAAAGGGCCGAGGAAGGACUGCAGGAGAUGCACGGGGUCUGAGCAUCCUGGGGUCCACCCUCGGAAUGUGCUUCCCGAAUCCUGGAGGGCUGCCCCCCAGCCCACCCCGCAGCAAGUCAGCGCCUUCACACCUGCGGCUCCCGGCACUUAGCUGCUGUCCUUGAAACCCAGCACCUGCCUCGUGGUGGUUCGGGCAAACAGAGUCAUCACCAGCCAUUUAGUGAGCGCUCACCAGUGCCAGGCCACCGUAAACGCUUGGUAGAAUCAUCAUACUUCAUCUUUACAUUCUUACCCCAGCUCAGAGAGGGAAAGUAACUUUCCCAAGGACACACAGCUGGGAUCCAAAUUGCAGAUGUGGAAACUGCAACCAGGGAAAUCGAGCGCCAGGGCCAGGCACACACCAGCACAGCGCCGACCCCAGCCCGUCAGCCCUCUGCUGCUUCCCGACUGCACCUCGGGGCGGGAGUUCUGUAAACCCUGGCCGCUGCGAGGGCACCCCGCCUGCCAGUCCUGGGCUCCCUUGGCUCUUUGGGGCAGUGGGGAUGUCAGAGGCCACUAGGUGGAACCAAAUGUUCAGAGAUGGAAGUUCAGGGCUGCCUGCGCUCUGAGCCCUGCCCACAGACCCUGCGGCUGUCGGAGUCUCCACCGGGUGGGUUCCCCGGGCCGACCUCGGGGGCUGUGGAGAUGCACCUGCCAUUCCACCCCACCCUCCUGGGGUGCCCAACUCGGCCCCCUCGCAGGUCGGCCUCCCCAGCCGAAACUCCUGUCCUGGACCAAGCUGGUCCCCUACUCAGAGGCAGGCCACGUGGAAGGCGGAGAUUUCCCAGCCCUUAGGACGGGCUCUCCUCCAUCCCCGGAAUUCCCCAUCCUGCCCCCUGGGAAUUCCCCAGUGAGCUGGCCAGGGAAGGUCCUGGGGCGGGAGGCGGUGGGAGCAGGACUGGGGCUGUCCCCUGGCGUGGAGCGCGUUGAGGGCCUUGGGGCUGCCAGGGCGGUGCCGCCUGAGAAGACAGUUCAGAGUUGACGUUUUCUUGAACAAGUUCCACUAGCCAGCAUUGUCCAGCGAACGGAACCACACAGUCCAGGUAUGACUUCUUCAACGGUUCUGCCACUUACGAGCUGUGUGACUUUGGGCAAGUACUGAACCUCUCUGGGCCUCGGCUGUAACGAGGGGACAGUAACAGACUAAAUGGGCUCGUCUAUGUCCAUCACUAGAACAGUGUCUGGUACACAGGAAGCACUAGAUGAGGAUUAGCUGUUGCCAUGGUAACUCGCUUAUUACCACAGCCUCACGAGGCAGGUGCUGUCAUUACCUUCACUUUACAGAUUUGGAAAUUGAAGGACAGAGAGGUAGGAGGCAGCCAAAGAGGUGGGGGCGGGGGGUAAAUUUGAGACAAGUCCUCCCCCACCGCACACCUUCCCCUCCAUCUGGCACCAGACCUGGGUGGGGUGUCCUCGGGACCCCACUGUGGCAGCCCUCUGGGCUCCGGGCUCCUGCGGCCCAGGGGCACUGGGGGACAGGUGAAGGGCCAUGGUUAGGUGUGCUUCUAAAAGUCAGAUGGUCAGGACCCGCUCCCAACUCUAGGACGAGCCAGCCAUCAAAUGCCCGCUGAGCACCUACUGUGCGCCAGGCAUUGUCGUAGACACUCGGGAAACAGUGAACAACAUGCGCAUGACCUCUGCCCCCCGAGAUUCACAUUCAAGGAAGGAGGCGGCCACUGAACAAACUAACCCCCAAAUAGCAUAACUAUAAAUUGUGAGGAAGGACACGGGAAAAGGAGAGGGUGCCGUGACAUCCUGGAAUCUCUCUGCCCUUCAGCCUUCUCUUGGGUAAAAGGUCAGGAGUAUCACCGGGACCUGAGGUCUCACAAGGACGCUGUUGCAGUAGAAUGUGGGCAUUGUGAAGGCAAGGUUUCCACUGUACUGAGCGUGGUCCCUGGAUCGCCCGCCUUGGAGAGCUGGUUGAUACGCCGGCUCAAGCAGACACUCGGGCGGGACCAGCACCCCACGCUUCAGCAAACCCUCCAGAGGAUGUCGAUGCAGUGCCUCAGGAACGCCCGCUGCAUCGAACAGACAGGGUGGAAUGGAGGCUGAGCUUGUAGGAGGGAGCAGACACAGGGAAUGCUGACGUGGGGAGCUCCUGGACCUCAGACCCACCCAACUCUGACGAGCAGGGCCUGUCUCCCCGUCUGCUUCCUCAGCGCCUGGCAUCCAGGAGUUGCUUGGAACGUGUGUGUAAGGAAAAAAGAACACACAGUCAGCAGAGGCACAGAACUACUCACCAAGUCCUCUCUGCUCGGGGAUCCCAACGUCCCCUCAGUGAAGGAAACCCCUGGCCUCCUCGACAGAAGGAAGCCUUACAGCAGCCCAGAUGGUCAGUGGGAAGACUUCGCACCACCCCAAGAUGCUCCUUCCCUGGGACUCUCCCCAGCAUGGUGCUGGCUCUCCCAGACUGUCAUGUUCCAAUCAGGUCUCAUCACCUCCCCUCUGUCUCCCACAGCCCAGCCUAGAAGAGGCUGGGAUGUUCAAACACGGGGAAGGGCUCAGGAUGCCACGGUGAGAUAAGCACAGCCUGUUAUGAGGAGCCGCUAAUCUGGCCUGCAACGUGUCAUCCCGCCCUCCAGACCCCAGGGCACCUCCGCUGAGCUCCGGCCAGCACUCAGCACCCUGAGCUCACCAUAGACGAGGCUCUCUUCCCGUGGUGAAGUCAGGUCCUCUUACCUAAAGAUGGCCCUCCAGGUUAGCAUCUCCCGAUGUUUACCGAUGCCUGCUAUGUUCCAGACUCAAAAGCACCUGCUACUAAUGUACAACCAGCCACCUUUGAAGCCUCCGUUGACAGAGAGGUCACUCCAUCCCAGGCAGCCCCGUCCAGUUUUAGACGGCUCGAAAGUGGAAGUUGCUCCUUUAUUAGAAAUGUGACUCCAGGAAAAUCCACGUGUCCCCUGGAGGAGGCAGAACACACCCAGGAUCCGGGUGGGAGAAGCGGUCAGCAGACAUAAAUUCAACUCCAUAAGGAGGAGAACAGGUGGAGGUGUGUGAGGGUGACCAGACGGGAAUGCUGGGGCCAAGCGGCCGGUCUUGGGGAAUCAAAGAACGUUUCCUAGAGACGAGCCUUAGAAGGGGUUUCUCCCAUGGGCUUCCCUGGUGGCGCAGUGGUUGAGAGUCCGCCUGCCGAUGCAGGGGACGCGGGUUCGUUCCCCCGUCCGGGAAGAUCCCACAUGCCGCGGAGCGGCUGGGCCCGUGAGCCAUGGCCGCUGAGCCUGCGUGUCCGGAGCCUGUGCUCCACAACGGGAGAGGCCGCAACAGUGAGAGGCCCGCAUACCACAAAAAAAAAAAAAAGCAGAAGAAGGGGUUUCUCCUGGAACAGAGUCUGGGUGGAAGAGGGGGGGCUCCUUUGGCAGAAAGGAGGUGGAGCCAAAGUUCCAGCAGGAAGGUGGCUGGUGGGGAGGAAAGGGUGAUUCCAGAAAGAUCCCACCUGCUGGUGGAGCAGAGGGCCACCCAGCGGGAGGAGGGAGCCUGGUCCCCAGCAUUGCAAGGCCAGGAACUGAGGGGCAGGGAAAGGGUGGGGUGAGGCUGGAGGAGCCUGGGAAGCCCAUGCAGGGCAACCCCCCACCCUGUUCCUCCCCGUCUGCCCCCCCCCCCCCAGGUGAUCCCCGGCAGGAGGGCACCUGAGUCCCUGCACAUUCUGUAGCUCUCCCUACAGAAACCUGUACGCGGUUCCCAUCCUCGGGCAGCUAGAGGGCUCUCUGGAGUCCGGAACCUGGUUCCAGAGCCCUGGGGUGGGCAGGGAGGGUCGGAAUGAAAUCUUCUGGGAGAGCCGAGGCCCGGCUGUGACUGUGACAGGGGGGCCUGCAGGAAGCCACUGCAGCUUCUGCUAGGGUGGUGAGGGUCUGGGAGACAGGUGAGCUCCAGACAGCACAGGCCCCUCGCCCCUCGCCCCCAGGUGCUGGCACUGGCGCCCCCUUCCACUCACACAGCCUUAGGCGGCGGGGCUGAGACGAGCAGAUUAUUCAGUGCCAGGUGCCCAGGCCAUGUCCUCUCGGCCUUCUCGCCCUGAUGUCCUGCCACAAGCUGCCAGCCAGGCUCAGCACAAACGAACACGGAGCCGAGUAGAGGAGGAGGGCUCGGCCCCCCCCGGGUGGCACCUGCCCGGCUGGCAUCAGGGCACAGGCUGGGGUGCUGAGGGAGGAUGGCUGGGCUUCUGCUCUGGGGACCUUCUGAGCCCAAGAGCUGCUCUCACUUCCUCCCCCUCUGGGGUCGGAGGGUGGUCCAGACACAGCCUGAGAUGGAGCCACGCAGGGUUCAGGCUGUGUGGCCCGGGGCAAGUCACCUUACCUCUGACCCUCAGCCUUCCUGGCUGUAAACCCUCCCUCAAAGUGUUGUACUGAACGUCAAACUGCAUGGCUAAGGGGCGCUCCCGACACAAAGUGGGCUCCUCAUAAACGCCCACCUCUUCCUUCACACCCUCCUCAUCCCCUGGUCCCACGAAGAGCCACCCUCGGGUGGCCCCGGACCCUUACGUGCACGCGGUCCCCCGGAGCCCCCGUGUUGGGAGGGCCUGGGCCUGCCGUCUGGCCUGCCUGGAAACGGGCUGUGACUCAGAGCGCUGAGGGCCCUGGGGCCACGCGGCCAGGAGCCCAGCAUCUGAGGGCCCCUCCUAGGGUGAAAAGUCACUGCAUGCCCUACUCAGUCAUUGCCCAGGUUGGGGUGAAGAGGGGGGCAGUGCUUCAAAGGAGGGGAGAAAGACGGGGUGGAUUUCCUCCCUGUAUGCAAGGGAGGCUAGGGACAACCUUGGAGCCCUCACCGCGGCCGGGUCUUUCCCACCCGGAAUCGCAGCCCAGCCUCUGCUUGCAGGAACAAGCAGGGCCAAGCCAGCUGCCCCAGACCUGGGGUGAGACGACCUGUGGACGAAGAGAAUGGCUUCCGGCCCAGGCAAGACCCCCGCACUCUGGACGUCCCUGGUUGCGGGGGUCGAAUCUGGCCCCCUCCUGACCCCCCCUGGACUCACUUUUUUCUCUCUCCUGUCCAGACCAGCACAAAGUCUGCGGGUCUGCAGACUGCACUGGGUUGGGUCCUCAAUCUUAGGAGCUGGGAGGAGGUCCUCUGCUGCGCCGACAUGAGCACAGACUCAGGGAGGCAGGUGCCUGCUGACCCGGCCCAGCACAGCCCCUGACAUCCUGACGCUGUGUCACUUCCUACACAGCAGGGCCGUGCUGCCUCCAGCCGAGGCCAUGCUCAGGGCUCAGGACUCACAACAAAAGCACCCCAAAACCCGGGGGCUUGAAAAGGUGAGUGCGGGUUUCCUCAACCUCCAGGGUUACUCUGAAACCGACCUCGACUGUGCCGUCUCCCUGUACGGACAUCCCUCCGCGUGCAGCCACGUGCGUAUGACCAGCAGCAGCGCUUGGUCUCGGCCUGGGCCUCUGACGGCGGAACCGACAGGAGGUCCAUCCUCCUGGCCCUCGGCGUGUCCCAGGAUGCGUUGCCUUUCUCCAGGUCUCCCUCUGGGGGUGUCUGACCGCCACGGCCCAGGACGCCCUCCAGGGUGGGCCCACGAGGCCAAAGUCUGGCCGGGCUCCUGGAACUUGGGCAAGACCACCUGGCCAACAGCACGGGCCCCUGCCUCCCCUGGGGGGAGGACCCUCACUGGCCCCCGACCCUCACCUAUGAAACGUGGCUUUGCUAGGGGAACUCUCAGUCCCUUCCAACCCCAGAAUUCCCAGAGGAACUUCCGUGGACGACGCCGAGGUGACGUUUUGCCUGUUUGCUUUUGUUGGUUGUUUUUUGUUUUUCCAGAGGAUGAGGGAGAAUUCUGGACCCCUUUUGGCCUAACAGCCUAUAGAAAGCUGGCACUGGACACUGCGACCUGCAGGACCUUUUCCCUUUGCCCAUCUGCACCAGGGGGUGGAGGGAAAUGGAGAUGGCGGCAACCCUGGCAGGGGCAGGAGGGAGCGCCCAUCUCACUUGUGCAGGUGCGCGUCUAUGCGUCUGUGGGCCUCUGUGCUCAGGACGGGGCAGCGUGUGUCGCCCUCCAUGGCGGACUCACAGAGCUCACCACAUGCAGCUGUAUAAGGAGAUUUAUAUUUCUCUCCUGAACGGCCGGGGCAGGGGUGUGGUCCAACAGAUGGCUGGCAUGUUCCAGGUGUGUCUGGCUGGAAAAGGCAUCUGGCCCAGCCUCCUGAUUGGCUCUCAGUGAGUCACGGCGGUUGGGUCCCUGGAGCGGCUGUCAUGGAGCCGGGGUCAUGCCCUGCGUUAUCUUUACUGCCUUCUCUGCCGGCGCAGACGGACAAUGUUCCCCGUGUCACAGUGACACUCGCGGGCUGCUGACUCCGGGUCAGUGGGACAUGCCCUCUGGGUAAUCUUCCUGGCGGGGCGUGGGUUCACCUCGACCUCGCUGCGCCUUGACGCUGCAGCCCACCCGGGUCCAACGGCCCCGCAUGGGAGCCAUUUGAGGGGCCAGCUUGCCAGCUGAAUGAAACCUGGCAAAGCCACAAAGGGGUUUCCUCAGUUCCCAAAGACCCACCUGAACGGACCAGCAGCAUAAAAAUGUUUGUGGGUAAACAUUCUAGAAACCAGCUCCGGGCUCUGGGAAGGGUCUCCAGGGAGAUGGGCAGGGAGGUGUUGUCAUGGUAACUUGGCAAUCUUCUGAGGCUCUGGCAGAGAGGAGGAGAGAGGCAGGUGCACCCUGGCUUUUCAGACACAAGGUACCCCUGGGCUUGCGGCCCAGCGGACACAUCCUGCCUCCCAGUCCCACGUCACAUGCACCCACAGAGCUUUUCACUUCCCAGGUCCUUCCAGGAGGGCGGGCCUGACGGCUGUCCCCCGUCCCAAAUGGACAAAGCAAGGCCUCGACAGGGACGUGCACUGCCCAAGGUCACCAGGUGGAGGCCGGCAGCCAGUAGGAGCAGACACAGGGACAUCGCCUCUCCACACCUGACAAAGCCCUCUGUCCGCCUGGCUACUCAAACCGCUGCAGCCGCCAGGCCUCCAUUAGGGUCCUGGGGCCACUCGUCUUGGGAACGGGGAGGACCUCGUACAACCACCUUGACUCCGGCCUGCAACUUCUGAGAGGCUCCGAGGUUUCAGCAAACCACCGAGAGCCUCGCCCUCCGUCUGCCUACCUGAGCAGAACACAAUUUCUGUGUCUGGGUGGGGGGCGCCGCUGAGCUGGGGAGGCCCUGGCCAGCUCCCUGUGGCUGCCAGACUGUCCGCCGGUGCCGUAGACCCGGCUCCCGCCCGCCAGGCGGGCACAGCGUCUGGGCAGAACGCCAGGGGGAAUUUUCCACCUGCCUGGCUCUGCCGCCCGCUCUGUGGUCUGGAGCGGGGGUUGUCUCGGGCCGCCCACACGGGAAGGGCCGGCUGUCGCCUUGUUCCGCGACGGCCGACAGUGUCUGUCCCCCUUCAGAGACGAGGAGCUUUUGGCUCUGGGCCGUGCACGCCCCAGCUCACCCAGUGAGCCCCCGCCUCGAAUAGACGGGGAGAAUGAGGCAUCAGAGAGCAAUGACGUGACCGAGGUCACAGGGAGGGGUGGUGGCCGAGCCAGGCCCCAGACUCACUGCCCUUGACCACAGCUCCCAGGCUUCCCGGAGCGCACCUCUCCCGACCCUCCUCCACCCCAGGUUCACUUGGGCUGCUGGCCCCCUGCCCCCCCCCCGCCACACACACCCUGCCCUCCCUUCUUGGCACGGCUGGGUGGGUCUGCCCUUCCCAGCUCAACGUGAGAAGCAGCUCUGGGGUGUGUGUGUGUGUGCGUCCCUGCGCGUGUGACAACUGAAACCACGAUGGCCACAGAGGCCGGAAGACGGGAGAGAUUACAAGCAGAUAGCCAGGGACUCCGCACCGGGCAGGGGCGGGAGGGGGUGGAGGGUGAGACCUGCCGAGGGGCCUUGGCGGGGGCGGCACCCUCCGCUUGCCCCUCCCAUCUCUCCCCUUGUUGGGGAGCCCAGACCCCCGUGCCGGCCUCAGGCCACCCGCAGGGAUGGGGUCAGAUGGCGCCCAUGUCCCUGGGGCCCAGAGCCCGACAUCUCUCCCGCCCACGGCGAGGUGACCCAGGUACACCUGCUCCUUGGAGUAAACAGCAAAGGAAAGGCCCCGGGCUGGGGCGGCCAAGGCUGAAACUUGGGUGCCGGGAGCGCAUGAGUCACGUUCUCGAUCCGCGACUGCCAGGGAAGGGAGCGGGAGGGAGGGUGGGGGACCAGGCCCACACCCCCUCCUUUGGGACUCCUGAAAGGUCCUCAGAAAUCUCUCCUACAACCUCUUUGUUUCAUCGAGUUAGGAGGCUGCACCCUAGAGAUGGCCCAGAGAGGGCAAGUGACUUGUCUAUAGACACACAGCAUAGUAGUGGUCCCAGGACUUCUGAGCUGCGGGUUCAGAUCCCAGAGUCGGGAACAGAACUCCAGCAGGCCUGCCCUGCCCUGCCCGGGUCAGACCCGCUGCCCGCUGGGGAAAGAGACUUGCAAUUGCAGUCAUCGCAGAGAUGCCGUCAAGCCCCGGGGCUGCUCUGGGCACUGGGCUGACAUCAGCCGGGUGUCCCCCGUCCCCGGAAGCCCCGCCCAGUGGUGUAACGUCACGGGCUGGGCUGGACCAACCCUGCCGGGAGUAACUUUCCACCCGGGGAGACGGGGGCCGAGGGAUCCGGGUCUGAGCUUGCGUGGGCCCAUGACCUAGCUCCGACCCCCGAAACUUCGUAGGCACCUCUGCUGCCCACCUCCUGCUCCCCUCACCUCCCGGGGCUGCUCCCACGGGCGACUGAGUCAGCUCCCGGGCCAAGUCAGGAGUAGCGUAAAGUCGGCCUUCCCUGGCUCUGCUGGUAUUGUGGCUAGGAGCGGUGGAAUCCAGAGAAUUCAGAGUUUCGGGUCAUUCUAGCAGAUCUCAGCCUGUCACCUCGGCCGAGCCCUGGGCAGGUGUCUGGCCUCACGAAGCCUCCUGUGUAAACAGGUCCCCCGCAGGGCUGCUGGGAAGAUCAAGUGGAAUGACUUGUGUGUAACUCCGGCCCAGGGCCUGGCAUGUGGCAACAAGGGCUCAAUUUUGGGACGAUGGAAUGUCCCAGAAGGGGACUCUAGCGUUAAUUAGCCAAAGCUCGGAACAGUGUAGGGUCCCUGCCUUCCGCUUACUCAGCCACCGCCUCUGGAAGACGGCACUCGGGGUGGCAGUAGGAGGACGGAGCUUUGUGUUACCCCAAACCAAUGCGCUUCCUCUCCGCGCCUCUUCACAGUUCGUACCGGGGGCUCACCCAGACGGACAGCCGUCCCCGGCGGGUGAGGGCCUCCUGCGGGCUCCCGGCCGCCCUCUCUGCUCCUUUCUUCUUGCUGUUUGUCCGGGGCUUAUCCCCUUUCUGAUCCCAGCAUCCGCCACCUCCCACGUUUGACUGCAGGCGUCCCUGAGCCAGGGACCUCUUGCGUCUGAGCUCCCCGCAGAGGGAAGAUGAAACGUCCACAGCGCGAAAGCACGAAGGGGUGGGCUCUCUGGGAUCUGGGCCUGGGAGAGCGCCUGGCUGACCGCACAGCCCAGGAGCCCAGGACAGCCACGCUGUGUGCUGCUGUCCUGUCUUGGUCAUUCGUAGUGUCCCUGUCACCGCCAGAGUGUCUGCGUUUGAAGAAUAAAUGUUACAGUCUCCCCAAGGCUGAGAGGCCUGGACAGGAUGCCGUCUCGCCAAACAAGGAUUUCGUGUUACCCUUCCCUGUGGUCGUUUCCCAGCUGUGCUGUGGGGUAUUGAUGGAGAGCUCCAUUCCAGCGGGGGCCACGGGGGAUGGGGGGUGGGCAGCGGGAGAGAAACCUGUCGGGGAGAAAGACCACGCUGGCUGUGAGGGCAGCAGAGCCUCCCCACGAGGAAAGUUCCUCUCCGGACCCUGAGGGCCGAGAACAAAGGGCAGUAAAUGUACAAAGAUGAGUUCAGUAGAAAUUCAAUAGGAACGUGGAGGAAAUUUCCAUCAAUCAAGCUCCCAGGGUCUCAGAGUCCCUGGGGGGGAGGGGUGGGUUGUUACCCCCAGAGCGAGUGAGGGAGUGAACCCCCAGCCCCAGUGCCCAGGGUCAAGGGGCAGAGACCUGGAGACCCUCUUCCCAAACACGAACAAACGUGAACCUCAAACAUGCAGGGUGUCCCAGGGCCUCCCACACCCCCGGGGCUGCGUGCACCCCCCGGGCAGGGGCCCUGCUGCUCCACAGUCCUCACUCGGAUGGGGAGGCCUUUCCUGUCCCAGGGGCUUUCGUGAGGUGGGAGAGAGGGGGAGGGGGACUGAGGAUGAGUCAUCAUGGCAACCAUCCACCCUGGACCUCGAGGCGGAUCUCGCCGGCACCUCGCUCUGUAUCAGGACCAUCAUUCAGCCUCACAGGGUGGGCUAAGCCUCCAGAAAACAGAACUGAAAAGACAGUGGCCCUGAGGGAGCCAAUCAGGCAGACUGGCGCGGCAGUGAUGACCUCGGUCUGGGAUGAGGGCAGCUGGGGGGUCGCGGGAGCCCGGGAAGCGCCCAAAUCCAGACGCAGCAGCAGCGGGGGGCAGCGGACCUGCGACCUCAGGCCUCAGGAGGAGAAAGGUUUAGGGAGGGAGAGACAUGCCGUUGGGGCACAGAGGCUGGACCGUCCUCCCAGCAGACCCGGUCCAGCCCUGUGACGUCACACCCUGGGCUUCCGGGAUCAGGUGCCCUGGCUGACAUCAGGGAGACAGAGCGCCAGGGAAACUGAGGAGAUGCUCUAACUCGUGGUGGGGUGGUUACGGGAUUGCACUCGUGAGCCACACUUAAAAUGUUACCGUGCAGAGCGGGCAUCUCCUGUGGUUGCUUUAAAGGGGCUGGGGAAGGGAGAGGGGUGAGGUAGGUGCCUGCUGAGGUGGGCUGGGGAGAUGAGGGCUGGUGGGGUCCACAGGCGGCUGCAGCGGAGCAGGCUUUCUUUGGCAGGUCCCAGCCCUGCGGUCAGGACAGACAGCUCUCAGCCCGGUGUUCAGACCAUCCAUCUCCUGCGUAAUGCACAUCACCCAGUGUUUCAGAAGGAACACCAUACAGGCCCCUGAGGACCUUUCUCAUCUUUACCACUGACGUUCGGUCCCAGAAGCUAGAUCCCAGGUUCUGCAUCUGGAAAUAUGGAUCGUAGCCCCGUCCCUGCCAGCUAGCACAGGGGUCUUGUGAGGGUAAAGUCAGAAAACACGUAUGAAAGCAUUUCACCGCAGGGGCCACAAGUCGGUAAGUGGGGGACGGUCCUGGAGCUUUGUCCACGUCCCACCGGCUCCCUCCGUCCUGCGUGUGGCUGGUCCUGUUACGAACCCCUUGAAGACAGAGACCGAACGUGUGCUUCUGUUUGACGGUCACUGGGGCAGUUCUCAUUCCACAGCAGGUAGGAUAAGCCUUGCUGAGAGGUCUUUCAAAUAAAGGAUUUAAACCUCGAGGACUCUUUUUGUCUGCUUCUCUGGGCUGUCUGGCAUGCUACGACUGCUGCUGACGGUAAGAGUGUCGGGGGGAGAAAUACUUCCUCUACCCUCUUAGGUUCCGUGACUGGUAUCUGCAAAUUAAACUAGGAAAAGACAGAUUAACAGGAGAAAAGGCAUACAGCUUUUCUUUGAUGUCAAUAUUUUAAUUUUUAUAUGCAUGAAGGUCUUCAUAGAAAAGAAGUGAAGGGACUUCCCUGGCCGUCCAGUGGUUAAGACUCUACAAUUCCACUGCAGGGGGAGAGAGCAUGAUCCCUGGCUGGGGAACUAAGAUCCCACACGCUGCGCAGUGCAGCCAAAGCAACCAACCAACCAACAAACGAACAAAACAGGUACAAGUCGGGCGCAGGUCAGGGUGAUCUUGGCGUCCCAGGCUCAGCCGUGGUGCAGGCCUGGUACACGGACUAGUUGCCGACCUCCCAGGGCAGCCCCACAGCACAGAGCCCGGCCCCCGGAAGCUGGACGCUGACAGAUGGGAUGAUCCAGAACCAGAAAAGAUCCGAAAAGAUAGAAACUACUCUUGGGUGGACGUAAUAACCAUAUACAAAGAUAAACUACCAAAUUAUGAAGAAAAGAGUAAGAUGUUCUGUGAGGUGCAUGGGCACUUGGAUGUGGACACUCGCUACAUCUCGGAUGGCAGUGGAUACUUUGAUGUGAGAGAUGAGGGGACAAGUAGAUCCAGAUUUUCCUGGAAAAGGAGACAUGGUCGCUCUUCCUGCAGGGAUUUUUCGGCUCCAACCUGGAUGAGAACAUCGUGAAGGUUAUGCAGCUGUUUGUGUGGACGGCGCAGAGCCAGCUAGCUGACCAGUUUGAGGCCCCGGGGGCAGUACAUGGGGUGUUGGCACGGACAGCAGAGCCAGUGCCCUGGGGCCUCGCACACCCCGGUUCCCCUUGUGAAGGUCCCGAAUGUGGUAGCCGCAGGAAAUAUGUCAUCUUCUCCUUGCUUUUAUGUUGUAGGCUUGAGGCUAGGUGAGCUUUCCUUCGCAAGAUUAUUUGAUCAGAAUACGUUUUAAUGAAAGGAGCUAUAAAGCUGGUUUGUAUUUACAUGGAAGCCCCUGUGCAAAUCUGCACGAAUCCACUUGUUUUCUCUGAUUUGGUAUCAGUGGUCAGUGGCCCCGUGUCAGCUCACGCCUUCAGCUCUAACUGAGUGAGUUUUGUUUCCCCAGACACAACCGCUUCGCUGCCCCAUCUGGACCCGAUUCUUGUUUUUUUGUUUUUGUCUGUUAUUGCUUUUUGGUUGUUUUUUGGUUGUUUGUUUCUUUAUUUUUUGUUCUUGUUGUUGGCGUUUUUUUUCGCCGCACCGCUCAGCUUGUGGGAUCUCAGUUCCCCGACCAGGGAUCGAGACCCCUGCAGUGGAAGCGCAGUCCUAACCACUGGACCACCAGGGAAGUCCCUGCACCCGAUUCUUGGACUUUAAGCAGAUACCAGGCGAGGCCAGGCCUGCCUUGUGUGCAUGUGUGACAGUGGACAACAGGACUGGCCAGAGAGAAGACGCUUUUCUCCCAAAAUGUGGGGGAGGCUGGCUGGGGGACACUGUGGUGGACAAGCUGGCAUAUUAGGGAGACGCUUACAGUUGCUCGUGCCUCUUUCUUGUUCAAAAUAAAGUAGCUGCCUUAAUUUUAAAAAGAAGUGAAGAUGCAAAGAAGUGGUUAGCUUGGGGGCUUGUACACCAUUUUAACAAAUUGUGGGGAAGAGAGAAGACAGAAGAAAGAGGUAAAUUGCGGGGCAGUAAAUCUCGGGGAUCUAACAGAAGAUGAGUGUCAUCUAGUUUGUGCAGACGCAUCUUGACACCAUCUCCAUCUCCAGCGACUAAAAGUGUUCUUCCUUUCCUGGGACCAAGGUGGCCACCUUCACAGGGGAAUUUACGCCCCGAUUUCAGGCAGGGGACAGGCAGAGAGCUUUCCUGUGUCUGCUUUUUUUCAAUUGCCUUCAGCUCAAAGUAAUCUUUAUGCCAAAGUGGCACAUUUUGGGGUGGCGUGUUCCGAUCCCCCUCGAUGUCUAACACUCAUAGACAUCUCUAGGUCUCAUUCCUAACUUUCUAUGUGGCAGGCACUGUUCUAAAUGUUCUCUAUGCAUUAAUGCAUUUAGUCCUCAAAACCCUUCUGUGGUAGGUACCAUUAUAAUCUCCCCAUUUUACAUAUUGUGGAAGUAGGGAUCAGAGAGAUUACGAACCUACCCAAAAUUCUACUGCACACUUCUUCUCUUUUUUCUCCCCCCUUAUUUUUUUUGGCCACAUCGGGUCUUAGUUGCAGCACAUGGGAUCUUCAUUGCGGCACACAGGAUCUUCAUUGCAGAGCUCGGGCUUCUCUCUAAUUGUGGUGUGCGGGUUUCCUCUUCUCUAGCUGCGGCGCGCAGGCUCCAGGAUGUGCGGGCCCUGUAGUUUGUGGCGGGUGGGCUCCCUCGUUGAGGCGCGCGAGCUCAGUAGCUGUGGCUCACGGACUUAGUUGUUCCUCAUCAUGCGGGAAUCUUAGUUCCCUGACCAGGGAUGGAACCCUUGUCCUCUGCAUUGGAAGGCAGAUUCUUUACCACUGGACCACCAGGGAAAACCCUAUUUACUUAGUUAUUCAUUUGUUUGUUUAUUUGGCUGUGCCGGGUCUUAGUUGCGGCAUGCGGGAUCUUAGUUGCAGCAUUGAACCCGGGCCCCCUGCACUGGGAGUGCAGAGCCUUAACCACUGGACCACCAGCAAAUUCCCUCUAUUGCAAACUUCUAAAGAACGAAGCCCAGAUUCAAACACAGGCAGCCCAGCCUAAGGGCCUGCUCUCCUAAGUACUGGUCUGAAUGUCAGCUGUUAUCGAACGCUUUGGUCUCAGGACCCUUUACAACCCCUAAAAAUUAUGGAAGACUCCGAAGAGCUUUUGUUUAUGUGGUUACAGCUAUCGCUACUUAUCAAAUUAGAAAUUAGAGCUAAGGAAUUUUUUUAAAUAUCCAUUUUUAAAUGACAAUAAUAAACCCACUCUAUGUUACAGAAAUAACAUUUUUUUUAAAGACCUAAAUUUUCCCAAACAAAUAAAACAAUGAGUGAGAAUAACGGC